GGUAAAGCAAGAAAGGGCGUAUGGGGGAUGCCUAGGCACGAUCCGGCGAAGAAGGACGCAGCAAACAGCGAAAUGCGACGGUGAGCGGUAAGCACGCGAAGACCCGUCGAUAUCCGAAUGGGGGAACCCACACGGAGUGAAGUCCGUGUAUUCCUGACCAGAGGGUCAGGGAGGCGAUACCCAGGGAACUGAAACAUCUCAGUACCUGGAGGAAGAGAAAAUAAGAAUGAUUUCCCAAGUAGCGGCGAGCGAAAAGGAAGGAGCCCAAACCGAUCUGAGGAUCGGGGUAGAAGGACCAUC
rnacentral:rRNA from 1 species